GAUGAAGAACGCAGCGAAAUGCGAUACGUAAUGUGAAUUGCAAAUUCAGUGAAUCAUCGGUCUUUGAACGCACAUUGCGCCCCCUGGUAUUCCGGGGGGCAUGCCUGUCCGAGCGUCAUUGCUGCCCUCAAGCACGGCUUGUGUGUUGGGCCCCGUCCUCCGAUCCCGGGGGACGGGCCCGAAAGGCAGCGGCGGCACCGCGUCCGGUCCUCGAGCGUAUGGGGCUUUGUCACCCGCUCUGUAGGCCCGGCCGGCGCUUGCCGAUCAACCCAAAUUUUUAUCCAGGUUGACCUCGGAUCAGGUAGGGAUACCCGCUGAACUUAAGCAUAUCAAUAAGCGGAGGA
rnacentral:misc_RNA from 1 species